UACGUAGGGUGCAAGCGUUAAUCGGAAUUACUGGGCGUAAAGCGUGCGCAGGCGGUUUGCUAAGAGAGGUGUGAAAUCCCCGGGCUUAACCUGGGAACUGCGCUUCUAACUGGCAGGCUAGAGUGUGGCAGAGGGGGGUGGAAUUCCACGUGUAGCAGUGAAAUGCGUAGAGAUGUGGAGGAACACCGAUGGCGAAGGCAGCCCCCUGGGCUAACACUGACGCUCAUGCACGAAAGCGUGGGGAGCAAACAGG
rnacentral:rRNA from 1 species